AUCUUCGGCAAUGGACGAAAGUCUGACCGAGCGACGCCGCGUGUGGGAUGAAGGUCUUCGGAUUGUAAACCACUGUCGAGGGGGAUUAAGGGCAACUUGAAAGAACCCUGGAGGAAGGGGAGGCUAAGCUCGUGCCAGCAGCCGCGGUAAGACGAGCUCCCCAAACGUUAUUCGGUAUCACUGGGUUUAAAGAGUUCGUAGGCGGCGAAGUAGGUGAGGUGUGAAAGCCCUCGGCUCAACCGAGGAACUGCGCUUCAAACCGCUUUGCUAGAGGGAGAUAGGGGUAAGCGGAACAGAUGGUGGAGCGGUGAAAUGCAUUGAUAUCAUCUGGAACACCGGUGGCGAAAGCGGCUUACUGGGUCUUUUCUGACGCUGAGGAACGAAAGCUAGGGUAGCGAACGGGAUUAGAUACCCCGGUAGUCCUAGCCGUAAACGAUGAGCACUAGUCUGAGGGACUUUCACGGUUUCUCGGACGUAGCGAAAGUGUUAAGUGCUCCGCCUGGGGAGUAUGGUCGCAAGGCUGAAACUCAAAGGAA
rnacentral:rRNA from 1 species